GAUGAACGCUAGCUACAGGCUUAACACAUGCAAGUCGAGGGGAAACGAUAUUGGAAGCUUGCUUCCGAUAGGCGUCGACCGGCGCACGGGUGAGUAACGCGUAUCCAACCUGCCCAUCACUUGGGGAUAACCUUGCGAAAGUAAGACUAAUACCCAAUGACGUCUCUAGAAGACAUCUGAAAGAGAUUAAAGAUUUAUCGGUGAUGGAUGGGGAUGCGUCUGAUUAGCUUGUUGGCGGGGUAACGGCCCACCAAGGCGACGAUCAGUAGGGGUUCUGAGAGGAAGGUCCCCCACAUUGGAACUGAGACACGGUCCAAACUCCUACGGGAGGCAGCAGUGAGGAAUAUUGGUCAAUGGACGAGAGUCUGAACCAGCCAAGUAGCGUGCAGGAAGACGGGCCCUAUGGGUUGUAAACUGCUUUUAUAAGGGAAUAAAGUGAGUCUCGUGAGACUUUUUGCAUGUACCUUAUGAAUAAGGACCGGCUAAUUCCGUGCCAGCAGCCG
rnacentral:rRNA from 1 species